GUGCAAUAUCUUGUCUGGCUUGAUAAGCAGAUGCAGGAAAUAUAUGGAGCAUCUGGUUAUUUCAUGGAGGCUGAGAGUACCAAACAGAAGAAACAACUGGGGACUAAAAGACUGACAGAAGUCUCUGUGAGUGAUAAGCUGGAGGAGUUCCGUGCAUCAAAGGAGCAUUUUAGAGGAUUAAGUUUCCGAACUACCUCUUCUGUUGGCUCAAAUGCAGCCAUUAUCCACUAUAAACCUGAGGCAGAAACAUGUGCUGAA
rnacentral:misc_RNA from 1 species